rnacentral:rRNA from 1 species
AACGAACGCUGGCGGCAUGCCUAACACAUGCAAGUCGAACGAGACCUUCGGGUCUAGUGGCGCACGGGUGCGUAACGCGUGGGAACCUGCCCUUAGGUUCGGAAUAACUCCCCGAAAGGGGUGCUAAUACCGGUUAAUGUCUUCGGACCAAAGAUUUAUCGCCUUUGGAUGGGCCCGCGUUGGAUUAGCUAGUUGGUAGGGUAAAAGCCUACCAAGGCGACGAUCCAUAGCUGGUCUGAGAGGAUGAUCAGCCACACUGGAAAUGAGACACGGCCCAGACUCGGACGGGAGGCAGCAGUGGGGAAUAUUGGACGAGGGACGAAAGCCUGAUCCAGCAAUGCCGCGUGAGAGAGGAAGGCCUUAGGGUUGUAAAGCUCUUUUACCCGGGAUGAUAAUGACAGUAACGGGAGAAUAAGCUCCGGCUAACUCCGUG